UACGUAGGAGGCGAGCGUUGUCCGGAAUUACUGGGCGUAAAGAGCGCGUAGGCGGCGCUGUACGACCCGUGUGAAAGCCCCGAGCUCAACUUGGGAAUGGCAUUGGAAACUGGCGGGCUGGAGUGUGGCAGAGGGGGGGUGGAAUUCCACGUGUAGCAGUGAAAUGCGUAGGAGAUGUGGAGGAACACCGAUGGCGAAGGCAGCCCCCUGGGCCAACACUGACGCUCAGGCACGAAAGCGUGGGGAGCAAACAGG
rnacentral:rRNA from 1 species